AAUCUUAGUUAUUUGAUUUUGCAAUGCUUUUGUUUUAGAAAAAAGUUAAAAUAAUGAUAUGUUGGAUUUGAUAUUAGAAGUGAUCAUGGAAAUAUCAAGUAUUGAAUCUUAGUUAUUUGAUUUUGCAAUGCUUUUGUUUUAGAAAAAAGUUAAAAUAAUGAUAUGUUGGAUUUGAUAUUAGAAGUGAUCAUGGAAAUAUCAAGUAUUGAAUCUU
rnacentral:lncRNA from 1 species